rnacentral:lncRNA from 1 species
UAAGUUCUUCACCUUCCUUCAUAUAUUGUUAGAACAUAAAGUGAAUGAUAGAUCCUAAAAGGUGAAGGAAAGAGGUGUAAGUAAUUGUUAGUCUUGAAAGACCCCCAACCACCAAAAGACUUUACAUCACUUCUCAACCACUUUCCCAUGAAACAAGGGUCCAUGUUUUAAGGAAAAGUACUACAAAAGUCAAGUCUUGAAAUUUGAAACUUGAAAAAAAGGCUCCAAGACUUAUUCUUCCCUCCUUAAAACAAAUUCUACCAAUCCAAAUUAAAAUUGGUCCAGACUUGGACUUUGGAAAAUAAAAAUUGUAGAAACCGC